rnacentral:rRNA from 1 species
ACUCCUACGGGAGGCAGCAGUGGGGAAUAUUGGACAAUGGGCGAAAGCCUGAUCCAGCCAUGCCGCGUGUGUGAAGAAGGUCUUCGGAUUGUAAAGCACUUUAAGUUGGGAGGAAGAGCAGUUACCUAAUACGUGAUUGUUUUGACGUUACCGACAGAAUAAGCACCGGCUAACUCUGUGCCAGCAGCCGCGGUAAU